rnacentral:rRNA from 1 species
UACGUAGGGUGCAAGCGUUGUCCGGAUUUACUGGGCGUAAAGAGUGCGCAGGCGGUUGAUCAAGUCGAGUGUGAAAGCCCCCGGCUCAACUGGGGAGGGUCACGCGAUACUGAUCGACUGGAAGGCAGGAGAGGGUAGUGGAAUUCCCGGUGUAGUGGUGAAAUGCGUAGAUAUCGGGAGGAACACCAGUGGCGAAGGCGACUACCUGGCCUGUUCUUGACGCUGAGGCGCGAAAGCUAGGGGAGCAAACGGG